rnacentral:rRNA from 1 species
CAAUAGCGUAUAUUAAAGUUGUUGCGGUUAAAAAGCUCGUAGUUGGAUUUCUGCUGAGGACGACCGGUCCGCCCUCUGGGUGAGCAUCUGGUUCGGCCUUGGCAUCUUCUUGGGGAACGUAGCUGCACUUGACUGUGUGGUGCGGUAUCCAGGACUUUUACUUUGAGGAAAUUAGAGUGUUUCAAGCAGGCGCACGCCUUGAAUACAUUAGCAUGGAAUAAUAAGAUAGGACCUCGGUUCUAUUUUGUUGGUUUCUAGAGCUGAGGUAAUGAUUAAUAGGGAUAGUUGGGGGCAUUCGUAUUUAACUGUCAGAGGCGAAAUUCUUGGAUUUGUUAAAGACGGACUACUGCGAAAGCAUUUGCCAAGGAUGUUUUCAUUGA